rnacentral:rRNA from 1 species
GACGGGGGGGCAAGUGUUCUUCGGAAUGACUGGGCGUAAAGGGCACGUAGGCGUGAAUCGGGUUGAAAGUGAAAGUCGCCAAAAAGUGGCGGAAUGCUCUCGAAACCAAUUCACUUGAGUGAGACAGAGGAGAGUGGAAUUCGUGUGUAGGGGUGAAAUCCGUAGAUCUACGAAGGAACGCCAAAAGCGAAGGCAGCUCUCUGGGUCCCUACCGACGCUGGGGUGCGAAAGCAUGGGGGAGCGAACAGG